rnacentral:lncRNA from 1 species
UUUCAUACUUUGGUUAUGUUCCUUGGUUUAACGUUAGUUCUUGCCUUGUUUGGCUCAUUAAAUUAAUCUCAUACUCUAUUUUGAUACAGUGUGAAAUGAUAGUUCCUAGAAUUAGGUUAAUUUUGUGAUUCAGACAAACCUAGCUUCUUUCUUCUGGGAGCAGAACUACGUACGGUGUUCUAAAACUGGCAUGGCCGGGAUGCAUGUGCAUGUUUUUUUUCAAGUAAUCUAAUUAGUAAACUACAUAUUAAGUACUAACCAAAUUUUAUUUUACAAAUACAUCCUUUACCUAUUUUCUUAUACAGUUAAGGACAAAAAAUAAUAAAUUAGGACAAUUUAAUGUGCACAUGUCAUCUGUCAUUACAAUUUUACUAGAAUACCCUUCAAUACAUAUUUUACUGCUACUGUCAACAGAAAUGUGCAAUGUGCUACUGUCAACAAAAAUGUGCUACUGUCGAUCAAUAGGUGCUACUGCCGAUCAAAAGGUGCUAUUGCAGAUGCUAUUGCAAUUUUUUCUGGAAAUUCUCCAAAACCAAACAAACAUGCUACUAUCUAUUUAGAAUCUGCUACUGUCUAUUACUGUCGACUCCAAAGCUGCUACUGUCUAUUAAUGUCGACUCCACAGCUGCUACUGUUGAAUUUUACUACUCAUCUACAAAUUUACCCUUCUAACAGUAGCAGAAAAUUACCCUUCCAACAACAGUAGCAGAAAAUUACCCUUCCAACAAAUCUCAACACCAACAAUAACAACUUAUCGUUCCAAUAUACCUUAGUUACAACAAAUUAUCCUUCCAAUCUCAACAGUAGCAGAAAAGGACAAACACACAUAUACAAACAAGCUUUGAUCACCAUCAAUCCAUCAUCCCUUUUUCUUCUCGACAAAAACCCUAACCCUAACCCUAACCUGACCUGCCGCCGACCCGUUGACCCGACCUGAUUUUUGCGACCAACUCCGGCAGACCUAGUCGAUGGCGACUAUCAGAUUAUUUUCCUCUCUUUGAUGCGACCCUCCCUCUGUCAAUGGAUCGUGCCAAUUCAAGCCGGGUAGUGAGUUGGAGCUUCGGCAGUGGGACGACGGCGUCGUUGGCCUUGGAGUCCUCCUUUCUCCUCGAUCUAAUCUGCCACUCCGCCUAUCAUAGAAGCUACCAGAACAAACCGCAGCCUCUGAAUCCACCGUCCAAGGCGGCCGUGGAGUCGUGGCAUAGAUCGGUGAGCUUUGCUCGCAUGCUACUCCGACGAAGUCUCUGGCCAGUUCUGGAACGUCUUUAGGCACCGGCAUAGGCGACGCCGGGGUCGAGCUCUGAUCUAGAGAGAGAGAGAGAGAGAGAGAGAGAGAGAGAGAGAGAGAGAGAGAGAGA